AUUGAACGCUGGCGGCAUGCCUUACACAUGCAAGUCGAACGGUAACAGGUUAAGCUGACGAGUGGCGAACGGGUGAGUAAUACAUCGGAACGAGCCCAGUAGUGGGGGAUAGCCCGGCGAAAGCCGGAUUAAUACCGCAUACGACCUAAGGGCGAAAGGGGGGGAUCGCAAGACCUCUCGCUAUUGGAGCGGCCGAUGUCAGAUUAGCUAGUUGGUGGGGUAAAAGCUCACCAAGGCAACGAUCUGUAGCCGGUCUGAGAGGAGGACCAGCCACACUGAGACUGAGACACGGCCCAGACUCCUACGGGAGGCAGCAGUGGGGAAUUUUGGACAAUGGGCGCAAGCCUGAUCCAGCCAUGCCGCGGGCGGGAAGAAGGCCUUCGGGUUGUAAACCGCUUUUGUCAGGGAAGAAAUCCUUUGGGUUAAUACCUCGGGGGGAUGACGGUACCUGAAGAAUAAGCACCGGCUAACUACGU
rnacentral:rRNA from 1 species